rnacentral:misc_RNA from 1 species
GAGAAGGCAUGCAUGAGAGGGUGCACGUACAACGGCCAUACACACAUGAUGGGGGAAAAGUUCAACAGUGUGGACGGUUGUAACACUUGUCACUGUCAGACGGACGGGACCUACACGUGUACAACAGAAGCGUGCAUGCCAAAGGUGUGCGACUACAACGGCAAGAUGUUCCAGGUAGGCGAGGGAUUCCCCGCGGACGACGGAUGUAACAGGUGUUUCUGUGCGGCAGGAGGCGUGGUCGCCUGUACCAAGAUGUACUGUCCGCCCGUAACGGCACCUCCACAAUAGCCGAAUAAAAAUCUCUACAAUUUGU